rnacentral:rRNA from 1 species
AGAGUUUGAUCCUGGCUCAGAAUCAACGCUGGCGGCGUGCCUAACACAUGCAAGUCGAACGAGAAAGGGACUUCGGUCCUGAGUACAGUGGCGCACGGGUGAGUAACACGUGACUAACCUACCCUGGAGUGGGGAAUAACUGAGGGAAACCUUAGCUAAUACCGCAUAAUACCUACGGGUCAAAGGAGCAAUUCGCUUCAGGAGGGGGUCGCGGCCGAUUAGCUAGUUGGCGGGGUAAUGGCCCACCAAGGCAAUGAUCGGUAUCCGGCCUGAGAGGGCGCACGGACACACUGGAACUGAAACACGGUCCAGACUCCUACGGGAGGCAGCAGUGGGGAAUUUUGCGCAAUGGGGGAAACCCUGACGCAGCAACGCCGCGUGGAGGAUGAA